UGCGCAGGCGGAAUGAUCAGUCAGUGGUGAAAACCUACAGCUCAACUAUAGACCUGCCAUUGAUACUGUCAUUCUUGAGUACAGUGGAAGUGGGCGGAAUGUAUCAUGUAGCGGUGAAAUGCAUAGAUAUGAUACAGAACUCCGAUAGCGUAAGCAGCUCACUAUACUGUAACUGACGCUCAGGCACGAAAGCGCGGGGAGCAAACAGGAUUAGAUACCCGAGUAGUCC
rnacentral:rRNA from 1 species